GGGUGUAUAGCUCAGUUGGUUAGAGCGCACGACUGAUAAUCGUGAGGUCGGUAGUUCAAGUCUACCUAUACCCACCA
rnacentral:tRNA from 1 species